CACCCACCUGGUGUCCCAGGUCUAAAUCAGGCCCUGUUUAGAGGGGAAUCACCCACCUGGUGUCCCAGGUCUAAAUCAGGCCCUGAUUAGAGGGGAAUCACCCACCUGUUGUCCCAGGUCUAAAUCACUCCCAGAUUAGAGGAGAAUCACCCACCUGGUGUCCCAGGUCUAAAUCAGGCCCUGAUUAGAGGGGAAUCACCCACCUGGUGUCCCAGGUCUAAAUCAGGCCCUGAUUAGAGGGGAAUCACCCACCUGGUGUCCCAGGUCUAAAUCAGUCCCUGAUUAGAGGGGAAUCACCCACCUGGUGUCCCAGGUCUAAAUCAGUCCCUGAUUAGAGGGGAAUCACCCACCUGGUGUCCCAGGUCUAAACCAGUCCC
ensembl:lncRNA